rnacentral:lncRNA from 1 species
CUCGCCCCGCGGAGCCGGGCGGGUGCUGCGGCCGGGGAGCUCGGCAUCGCUAUUAGUGCUGCGCGGCGCGGCCCCGGCUCUCCGGUUUCAUUUCCUUUUUCCUGAUCACGAUUCAAAUACAAUAGAAGGAAAUCACGCUUAAAGAGACAGCUGCCCGUUUCUUAACUGGACUCCUGGGGGUUUAGCAACACAAACAGCGGCAUCACGACUCGCUCGGCUUCUUAAAGAGACAGAGCUCGGGCUCCCCGCAGCCGGGGUUGCGAGCUGACGCUGCGUUUUCACAUCGCGACGUCACGGAGCAGCACCGCACCGCUGCUCGGGGCUCCCGGGGAGGUGCGCGACCCGAAAGCAUCCGAAGGGCUGAGGGAAACCUCGGCCGGCUCCGAGCUGUCGGCACCCCGGCCCCACGCGGAAUCACAGCGGCCGUCACGCUCCCUCUCCUCGUCCUCUCCAGCCCUUCACACGCACAUGCCCACACCACGCACGUUUCGCUACGGCACCUGGAAAUCGGGCGCUGGGUCAGAACCCGAGUGCUGUUUUCUACCUAGGGUGCAAAUCGGUCAACUAAACUGUGCUUCCCUUGUAUCCCGUUGUGUUCCAGAGUCACUGGUCGCUGGUGUCUGCUUCCAGAUGCCCCCGAGUUCUCGGUUAACCUUUCCUUUGAACUGGAAGAAAACAUACCAGAACAAUAAAAACCACAACGAGGGCGAGGUUUGCCCUGGGAUUGUGAGGUCCGGACUUUCAGAUAAGAAAUCUGGUGCAUAAAGAAGUUUGAGUGGUAACAAGUUGUUGUUUUGUUGUGCCUUAUGUUCUUCAGCAAGCAAUUAAGAUGAAAAACCAGCCUGUGUUUAUAGCUGAGAGAAAUCUCUGGCUGCAGGUCACAGCACAUAUGAUGACAAGUAAGUUACAGGCAGUCAGAUGAAGGGAUGCUUCACUGAAGAAAUGCGAAAGGUUUCCCCUUCCCCAUUUCCUCUCUUUUCUGUUAUUGAUUUCCCUUGCUCCCAUCAAGCCCCUGCUUCCUUGCACACCAGCCAGAUCCAAUUACCAUGUCAUUUUUUCCAUAAGGCUACUGCUCUACAGUAUAGCUCUUCCAAGCAAUUUGCACCUUUUCUGUGCUAAGUACUCUCCUCUGUGCUUAUUAUGCAUGUAAGUCACCCCAGCAGCACACUACUAGUUUUUAUUUCAGAAUUAAAUAUCUCAUCUGAAGUCCAUACAUGCCAGAAGAAAUACACGUAUUAACCUGCAGAAGCUUUGAGUCCGACCUAUGAAUGCUUUCCUUUUAGAAAAUAAGCAGUGACCGGGAAAGAAAUGCCCUCAGAGAAAAUUUCAUAAGGAGUCACAGACCUGCCAGAAACUUCUGCUCAGGCUUCCUUGUCUAUGUAUAUAUAUUUAUAUCUGUAUUUAUGAUGUGUAUAUAAUUACGCAUUUCUGUAUGUGUGUAUGUAUUUGUAAACACACAGAGACACAUAUACAGACUUGUAAAUUAUGUUCUUCAGUGUUUUGCAGCAUUCCAAGCUGUUUUCUAGACAAAGGUAGCCUUUUAAGAUGACCACUGGUCUAGCUGAUGAACUAUUUCAUGUUACCUGAGGGUCACCAGGUAAAUGCAGUACCUUGGUGUUACACAAGGAAGACUAACAUCAUUCCAAGAAUACCUCGGUCUUGCUGUUCCCUUAUGCAAUGUCAUUUCUGCUUUUAAUUAGUUCUGGGCAUUCAGUGUGCGACAGGUCAGUCUUCCGAAACAAAUGCAAUGGGAGGUAGUUCUGAUGAGUUAGUCUGGUAUCCCCUGCUUCACAACGAAUCACACAAUCAUUAAGGUUGGAAAAGACCGUUAGGAUAAUCUAGUCCAACCACCAACCCAACACCAUUGUGACCACUGAGCGAUGUUCCUCAGUGCCACAUCUACGUGUUUCUUGAACACCUCCAGGGACAGCAGCUCCACCACCUCCCUUAACAUGCGUAGCACAUGCAUAGUCCCAAAAUACACAGCCUAAGGACUGCAUAAUAUUCUUACACUUAAGGUACAAGUACCAUGAAUUUUUGGAAAACAGUCCAGAAGAAUAACAGCUCAAUGUAUUCUUGUUACACUAGCUCAAAUAAAAAUUGUACUGAGUUCAUCUCCUCAUUCCAGAAGCUGCAGCUUCAAAUCUUACCAGGUGUGUUGUCAUAUAUCCUAUAGAAGGUCAUACAGUGUGCUUUAUACCAUGAACCUAACCAAGCUUUACCCGUGGACCAGUGUGCAGGAGCACUGCUUAUUCACUAAUUUACUCCACUUCACCGGGUCACCUUCAGCAGACCUUGUAACAUGUAGCAGGAAUUUCCUCUUGGACUCGGGAAUGUCUGAUGCAGCCUUUGAGUUGCUUCUCUUUUCUAUAUGACAAGGCUCCAUUGCAAGCACACCAGCCACCUAAUUAUUAACCUUGACCUUGGGAAAAAGAAGCAGAGUGCCUUUAAUAACAGCCCCAGUGAGCUGAGGAGGCUCUGCAAUUAUGUCGCAUAAUAUAGUCAUGAGAAGAAGGUUACCAGGGAGACAAUGGUAAACAUCAGCCUUAAUUCUGUCUGAAAAAUAAUUGGAGUGAUCUCCCUUUGUGGCUGGGGUAGAGGAGAAAAUUGGAUGGGUAAAUUUCCAGCUAUCACAGAUGCUAGUCAAACAUGCUGCACUCUACCACUGACCAAAUUAUUCGCUGCCUCUAAGUGCUAUGGGCACCAAUUGCCUGGCUUCCUCUCAGUGCAGAUAAGUCUGCAUCAUUUAAAUGAGAAAACAGAGUUGGUUGUGGCCCAACUGGUAUCUCUCUGUGCUGCUACUGCUCUCUUAUUUACAGUGGCCCCACCAAACUCCUCUGCUCGUCAGUAUAUUCAUCAGUCCUGACACAACCUGGCCUUAGAGCCCUGGUGACAACCCAUGAGGGUUGAAAUGAUCCUCGCACAAUCCUUCAGGGUACAGCCAUGGGAAUUCUGAUGUAGGAUGCCCUCUGUUGCUCUCCUUACUGCUCUAUGCACUGACUACAGCCCUGAAGUGCCUUUCCCAUCCUAAGGGUACCCCUGCAGGGGUUCGCGGUGCCUCCCUGCACUGCAGGCUGUGGAGAGGCCAUGUGUGUGCCAAGGGAGGAGAGCUGGGAUGCUGAGAAAUUUGCUAACAGUUUGUUCCUACCUCUGCUGGACACCUCCAUCAGAUGCUGACAUUUGCCACUCUGCUGUCACCAACAGAAGUUCUGCCUGGAUCUCAUGCUGGCUGGCUGGGAGACUAAGGAAGCACAGUUAAGGCCCCUCUUGGUUUGGAAACAAGCCCAGAAGAACAACAAACAUUUUCCUCCUGAGUGCACCGUUUCCCAGAGCUUUACCUUCCAGUUUCUUAGCCCAGUUGGGACAUUUAGUCUCAUUCACUGAUAU